rnacentral:rRNA from 1 species
AUUGAACGCUGGCGGCAGGCCUAACACAUGCAAGUCGAACGAGUGGCGGACGGGUGAGUAAUGUCUGGGAAACUGCCCGAUGGAGGGGGGUAACUACUGGAAACGGUAGCUAAUACCGCAUACCAUCGGAUGUGCCCAGCUGGGAUUAGCUAGUAGGUGGGGUAACGGCUCACCUAGGCGACGAUCCCUAGCUGGUCUGAGAGGAUGACCAGGCACACGGGAACUGAGACACGGUCCAGAAUCCUACGUGAGGCAGCAGUGGGUAAUAUUGCACAAAGGGCGCAAGCCUGAUGCAGCUAUGCCGCGUGUAUGAAGAAGGCCUUCGGGUUGUAAAGUACUUUCAGCGAGUAGGGGUUACUCGCAGAAGAAGCACCGGCUAACUCCGUGCCAGCCGCCGCGGUAAUAC